rnacentral:misc_RNA from 1 species
AAAAACCAUCAGGCAGGGCUUUCAUGCCAUGCCUGGAUCUUGUCAGAGAGGCAGGUGACUCGAGGUCCCUCUGCCCUUUGUAAAACCAUGGAUAUUUUGAAGUCGUCCCAACGUGAUAGAAUAUUUCAUUCGCUGGUGCCGUCAUCUUCAGAUCUUUCCAAAAACAAAACCCACAAAAUUGUUAAAU